rnacentral:rRNA from 1 species
AUUGAACGCUGGCGGAAUGCUUUACACAUGCAAGUCGAACGGCAGCACGGGAGCUUGCUCCUGGUGGCGAGUGGCGAACGGGUGAGUAAUAUAUCGGAACGUAUCCAAUAAGUGGGGGAUAACUAGUCGAAAGAUUAGCUAAUACCGCAUACGCCCGUACGGGGAAAGCUGGGGAUCGUAAGACCUGGCGUUAAUGGAGCGGCCGAUAUCUGAUUAGCUAGUUGGUGGGGUAAAGGCCCACCAAGGCGACGAUCAGUAGCUGGUCUGAGAGGACGACCA